rnacentral:rRNA from 1 species
AUACGGAGGGUGCGAGCGUUAAUCGGAAUUACUGGGCGUAAAGCGUACGUAGGCGGUUGGUUAAGUUAGAUGUGAAAGCCCCGGGCUUAACCUGGGAACUGCAUUUAAAACUGGUCGACUCGAGUUGAGUAGAGGGGAGUGGAAUUUCAGGUGUAGCGGUGAAAUGCGUAGAGAUCUGAAGGAACACCAGUGGCGAAGGCGACUCCCUGGACUCAAACUGACGCUGAGGUACGAAAGCGUGGGGAGCAAACAGGAUUAGAAACCCCAGUAGUCC